UUCGCAAUGCCCGAAAGGGUGACGAAGCGACGCCGCGUGGGUGAAGAAGGCCUUCGGGUUGUAAAGCCCUGUCAGGAGUUAUGAAAUGUAGGUGCGAUAAUACCGUGCCUAUUUGACAAAGGCUCCAAAGGAAGCCACGGCUAACUCUGUGCCAGCAGCCGCGGUAAUACAGAGGUGGCAAGCGUUGUUCGGAAUUAUUGGGCGUAAAGAGCACGUAGGUGGAUUUGUAAGUCAGGUGUGAAAGCCUUCUGUUCAACGGAAGAAUUGCAUCUGAAACUGCAAACCUUGAGUGUAGGAGGGGAGAAUGGAACUUCUGGUGGAGCGGUGAAAUGCGUAGAUAUCAGAAGGAACGCCGGCGGCGAAAGCGAUUCUCUGGCCUAUUACUGACACUGAGUGUGCGAAAGCUAGGGGAGCAAACGGGAUUAGAUACCCCGGUAGUCCUAGCCGUAAACGAUGGGCACUAAGUAGAGGGGUUUU
rnacentral:rRNA from 2 species